UGAUCAAGUCAUUGGAUCUGAGGCACCUGU
rnacentral:piRNA from 1 species